AGAGUUUGAUCCUGGCUCAGGAUGAACGCUAGCUACAGGCUUAACACAUGCAAGUCGAGGGGAAACGACAUCGAAAGCUUGCUUUUGAUGGGCGUCGACCGGCGCACGGGUGAGUAACGCGUAUCCAACCUGCCCACCACUUGGGGAUAACCUUGCGAAAGUAAGACUAAUACCCAAUGACGUCUCUAGAAGACAUCUGAAAGAGAUUAAAGAUUUAUCGGUGAUGGAUGGGGAUGCGUCUGAUUAGCUUGUGGCGGGGUAACGCCACAAGGCGACGAUCAGUAGGGGUUCUGAGAGGAAGGUCCCCCANAUUGGAACUGAGACACGGUCCAAACUCCUACGGGAAGCA
rnacentral:rRNA from 1 species